rnacentral:rRNA from 1 species
UCGAGAAUCUUCGGCAAUGGGCGCAAGCCUGACCGAGCGACGCCGCGUGGAGGACGAAGGCCUUCGGGUUGUAAACUCCUGUCGAGGGGGAGGAAGGGGCAACCUUGACCUAUCCCUGGAGGAAGCACGGGCUAAGUUCGUGCCAGCAGCCGCGGUAAGACGAACCGUGCGAACGUUAUUCGGAAUCAUUGGGCUUAAAGCGCGUGUAGGCGGAUGGGAACGUCGGCUUUGAAAGCCCCCGGCUCAACCG